UACGUAGGGAGCUAGCGUUGUCCGGAAUCAUUGGGCGUAAAGGGCUCGUAGGCGGCCAACUAAGUCAGACGUGAAAUCCCUCGGCUUAACCGGGGAACUGCGUCUGAUACUGGAUGGCUUGAGAUUGGGAGAGGGAUGCGGAAUUCCAGGUGUAGCGGUGAAAUGCGUAGAUAUCUGGAGGAACACCGGUGGCGAAGGCGGCAUCCUGGACCAACACUGACGCUGAGGAGCGAAAGCCAGGGGAGCAAACGGG
rnacentral:rRNA from 1 species